rnacentral:rRNA from 1 species
GAUGAACGCUAGCGGCAGGCCUAAUACAUGCAAGCCAAGGGCUGUUUGGUGUAGCAAUACAUCAAACAACCGGCGGACGGGUGCGUAACGAGUAUGCAACCUACCCUAUACAGGAGGAUAGACUUCGGAAACGAGGAUUAAUACUCCAUAAGAUUGCUCAGAGGCAUCUUUAAGCAAUUAAAGCCGCAAGGCGGUAUAGGAUGGGCGUGCGUCCGAUUAGCUAGUUGGUGAGGUAACGGCUCAACAAGGCGAUGAUCGGUAGGGGUUCUGAGAGGAAGCGCCCCCACAGGGGCACUGGGACACUGGCCCGAGUCCUACGGGAGGGAGCAGUAAGGAAUACAGGACAAUGGAUGAUUGCCUGAUCCAGCCAAGCCGCAUGCAGGAAGGAGGCCCUAGGGGUUAUAAACUGCUUUUGGGAGAGAGAAAUAAGGGCGAUGCGUCGCUCGAUGAUAGUACUGCGUGAAUAAGCAUCGGCUAACUUCGUG